AGUGAACGCUGGCGGUAGGCCUAACACAUGCAAGUCGAACGGCAGCACAGUAAGAGCUUGCUCUUACGGGUGGCGAGUGGCGGACGGGUGAGGAAUACAUCGGAAUCUACUUUUUCGUGGGGGAUAACGUAGGGAAACUUACGCUAAUACCGCAUACGACCUACGGGUGAAAGCAGGGGAUCUUCGGACCUUGCGCGAUUGAAUGAGCCGAUGUCGGAUUAGCUAGUUGGCGGGGUAAGGGCCCACCAAGGCGACGAUCCGUAGCUGGUCUGAGAGGAUGAUCAGCCACACUGGAACUGAGACACGGUCCAGACUCCUACGGGAGGCAGCAGUGGGGAAUAUUGGACAAUGGGCGCAAGCCUGAUCCAGCCAUACCGCGUGGGUGAAGAAGGCCUUCGGGUUGUAAAGCCCUUUUGUUGGGAAAGAAAAGCAGCAGGUUAAUACCCCGCUGUUCCGACGGUACCCAAAGAAUAAGCACCGGCUAACUUCGUG
rnacentral:rRNA from 1 species